AUACGGAGGGGGCUAGCGUUGUUCGGAAUUACUGGGCGUAAAGCGUACGUAGGCGGACUGAUCAGUUGGGGGUGAAAUCCCAGGGCUUAACCCUGGAACUGCCUUCAAUACUGUCAGUCUUGAGUUUGGGAGAGGUGAGUGGAAUUCCUAGUGUAGAGGUGAAAUUCAUGGAUAUUAGGAGGAACACCAGUGGCGAAGGCGGCUCACUGGCCCAUUACUGACGCUGAGGUACGAAAGCGUGGGGAGCAAACAGGAUUAGAAACCCUAGUAGUCC
rnacentral:rRNA from 1 species